UGAAGGAAAACAACUUGGGCUACAUGCACAUUCAUUAAGGCAUGGACAUAUUAAGUCCAAAUGCUGAUAAAAUUCAAUAACAAUAGCUAAUAAUGAUGACAAGCCUUGGGGAAGUUUUGAGUGAAUACUAAAGUUAUGGUGAAACUUGAUGACUGUGCUAGAUGCU
rnacentral:ncRNA from 1 species